rnacentral:misc_RNA from 1 species
GCACUAUCACUGUUUCUACUCCUCCCACCAUUGAAAUUUAUGUCUCUCUUCCUUUUUUGACUAUCAAUUUUCCAAGAAUCUUAGCUGAUCUUGGUUGAGCCACUACUGAGAGCAGCAGGUUUUGGCAAUGGCUACAUCUGCUUGGGACAUUGCUGCCACAGAAUUCUUACAAGGUUUUCAUAGACAAAAGCUAGCAUUGCCUAGACAUUCUAGUAAGCAGACAAAUCUUUUGCUUUGGGGUACACUUCCAAGGCAGAGCUCUUUUGGGUAUUCACAUAAAAAUUUGAGACUAAGGUCCCAUAUUCCGGCGAAGAUUAGUGCUGUAGUUUCAGGAAAUGUCAGUAGCUUGGUGGAUGAAAAUUCAGGCAAAGUUCAGGAGGUUGCUGAAAACCUGAUACAUUUAUACCGUGUUCCGUUUCUACAAGACAGUGCCACAGCUGAGCUUCUCAAGUUGGUUCAGACAAAGAUCUCUAAUCAAAUAAUUGGCUUGAAAACUGAACAAUGCUUCAACGUUGGACUCAAAUCAGAUCUUUCAAGUGAUAAAUUUUCUGUGCUUAAAUGGCUUUUAGGAGAAACUUAUGAACCUGAGAGCUUGGGAAGUGAGAGUUUCCUUGAGAGGGAGCAGCGGAAACAUCCAGAUGCAUAUAUCGUUGAAGUUGGUCCUCGGUUAUGUUUCACUACAGCGUGGUCUGCUAAUGCUGUGUCAAUUUGCCAAGCAUGCGGGCUAACAGAGAUAAACAGACUGGAGCGCUCUAGGAGGUACUUAUUAUAUGUCAAGGGGUCACUUCUAGAUAGUCAAAUUAAUGAGUUUGCUUCAAUGGUUCAUGAUCGAAUGACAGAGUGCAUUUAUGUUGAGAAGCUUACUUCUUUCAAGACAAGCAUAGUUCCGGAGGAGGUUCGAUAUAUACCAGUCAUGGAAAAGGGUCGCAAGGCAUUGGAGGAAAUUAAUGAGGAAAUGGGCUUGGCCUUUGAUGAGCAAGACUUACAGUACUACACCAAACUUUUCAGGGAUGACAUAAAGCGAAACCCGACAAAUGUAGAAUUAUUUGAUAUUGCUCAAUCUAAUAGCGAACAUAGUAGGCACUGGUUCUUUACAGGAAAGCUUGUUAUAGAUGGUCAACCUGUGGAUAAGACUCUUAUGCAGAUUGUCAAAAGCACUUUGCUUGCAAAUCCGAACAAUUCAGUUAUUGGAUUCAAAGAUAAUUCCAGUGCUAUCAAGGGGUUUCCAGUGAAGCAAUUGCGACCUGUUCAGCCUGGUUCGACAUGCCCUUUGGACACGGUUACCACCGACCUUGAUGUCUUGUUUACAGCAGAAACCCAUAAUUUUCCUUGUGCUGUGGCACCUUAUCCUGGUGCUGAGACCGGUGCAGGAGGCCGGAUCCGGGAUACCCAUGCUACUGGAAGGGGUUCUUUUGUUGUUGCAUCUACAGCUGGAUAUUGUGUUGGAAAUCUUAACAUUGAAGGGUCAUAUGCUCCCUGGGAAGAUCCUUCUUUCACAUACCCAGCAAACUUGGCAUCACCAUUACAGAUUCUUAUUGAUGCUAGUAACGGAGCAUCAGACUAUGGGAAUAAGUUUGGGGAGCCCUUGAUCCAGGGUUAUACUCGAACUUUUGGAAUGAGACUACCAAGUGGUGAGAGGAGGGAAUGGUUAAAGCCAAUCAUGUUUAGUGCUGGUAUUGGGCAAAUAGAUCACCGUCACAUAACAAAGGGAGAACCCGAGAUUGGUAUGUUGGUAGUUAAGAUUGGGGGACCAGCAUAUCGUAUUGGAAUGGGAGGU